rnacentral:rRNA from 1 species
ACUCCUACGGGAGGCAGCAGUAGGGAAUCUUCCACAAUGGGCGCAAGCCUGAUGGAGCAACACCGCGUGAGUGAAGAAGGGUUUCGGCUCGUAAAGCUCUGUUGUUAAAGAAGAACACGUAUGAGAGUAACUGUUCAUACGUUGACGGUAUUUAACCAGAAAGUCACGGCUAACUACGUGCCAGCAGCCGCGGUAAUACGUAGGUGGCAAGCGUUAUCCGGAUUUAUUGGGCGUAAAGAGAGUGCAGGCGGUUUUCUAAGUCUGAUGUGAAAGCCUUCGGCUUAACCGGAGAAGUGCAUCGGAAACUGGAUAACUUGAGUGCAGAAGAGGGUAGUGGAACUCCAUGUGUAGCGGUGGAAUGCGUAGAUAUAUGGAAGAACACCAGUGGCGAAGGCGGCUACCUGGUCUGCAACUGACGCUGAGACUCGAAAGCAUGGGGUAGCGGAACAGGAUUAGAUACCCUGGUAGGAUAGCG